GGUGUGGUUGUUUCUGGCCCUCUCGGGGGCUGUGCACACCCACCAUCCUCAUCUCUCCACCGUGCACCCUUGUAGACCUGGAUUGACUUUCCGAGGCAACUCGGUCGGGAAGAUUGCUGCGCUCUGUGAGCCAGCUUUCUUUGCAUGUCCAGGCCUAUGUUUUUCAUAUACCCCUAUAGAAUGUAACAGAAUGUAUCAUUGGGCCUUGUGCCUAUAAACCUUAUACAACUUUCAGCAACGGAUCUCUUGGCUCUCGCAUCGAUGAAGAACGCAGCGAAAUGCGAUAAGUAAUGUGAAUUGCAGAAUUCAGUGAAUCAUCGAAUCUUUGAACGCACCUUGCGCUCCUUGGUAUUCCGAGGAGCAUGCCUGUUUGAGUGUCAUUAAAUUCUCAACCUUAUUAACUUUUGUUGAUAAUGGAUUGGAUUGUGGGGGUUUCUUUUGCUGGCUUCUUCACAGAGAUCAGCUCCCCUUAAAUGCAUUAGCUGGUGCCCCGCGUGGACCAUCUAUUGGUGUGAUAAUUAUCUACGCCGUGGAUGUCUGCAAUCAUAUGGGUUUCGCACUGCUUCUAACCGUCUGUUCAUUCGGACAAUACAUGACAAUUUGACCUCAAAUCAGGUAGGACUACCCGCUGAACUUAAGCAUAUCAAUAAGCGGAGGAAAAGAAACUAACAAGGAUUCCCCUAGUAACUGCGAGUGAAGCGGGAAAAGCUCAAAUUUAAAAUCUGGCGGUCUCCGGCCGUCCGAGUUGUAAUCUAGAGAAGUGUUAUCCGCGCUGGACCGUGUAC
rnacentral:rRNA from 1 species